rnacentral:rRNA from 1 species
AAGCCAAGCUUGCUUGGUGGAUCAGUGGCGAACGGGUGAGUAACACGUGAGCAACCUGCCCUGGACUCUGGGAUAAGCGCUGGAAACGGCGUCUAAUACUGGAUAUGAGCCUUCAUCGCAUGGUGGGGGUUGUAAAGAUUUUUUGGUCUGGGAUGGGCUCGCGGCCUAUCAGCUUGUUGGUGAGGUAAUGGCUCACCAAGGCGUCGACGGGUAGCCGGCCUGAGAGGGUGACCGGCCACACUGGGACUGAGACACGGCCCAGACUCCUACGGGAGGCAGCAGUGGGGAAUAUUGCACAAUGGGCGAAAGCCUGAUGCAGCAACGCCGCGUGAGGGAUGACGGCCUUCGGGUUGUAAACCUCUUUUAGCAGGGAAGAAGCGAAAGUGACGGUACCUGCAGAAAAAGCGCCGGCUAACUACGUGCCAGCAGCCGCGGUAAUACGUAGGGCGCAAGCGUUAUCCGGAAUUAUUGGGCGUAAAGAGCUCGUAGGCGGUUUGUCGCGUCUGCUGUGAAAUCCCGAGGCUCAACCUCGGGCCUGCAGUGGGUACGGGCAGACUAGAGUGCGGUAGGGGAGAUUGGAAUUCCUGGUGUAGCGGUGGAAUGCGCAGAUAUCAGGAGGAACACCGAUGGCGAAGGCAGAUCUCUGGGCCGUAACUGACGCUGAGGAGCGAAAGGGUGGGGAGCAAACAGGCUUAGAUACCCUGGUAGUCCACCCCGUAAACGUUGGGAACUAGUUGUGGGGACCAUUC